GAUGAACGCUGGCGGCGUGCCUAAUACAUGCAAGUCGAGCGAACAGACGAGGAGCUUGCUCCUCUGACGUUAGCGGUGGACGGGUGAGUAACACGUGGAUAACCUACCUAUAAGACUGGGAUAACUUCGGGAAACCGGAGCUAAUACCGGAUAACAUGUUGAACCGCAUGGUUCAACAGUGAAAGACGGUCUUGCUGUCACUUAUAGAUGGAUCCGCGCCGCAUUAGCUAGUUGGUAAGGUAACGGCUUACCAAGGCAACGAUGCGUAGCCGACCUGAGAGGGUGAUCGGCCACACUGGAACUGAGACACGGUCCAGACUCCUACGGGAGGCAGCAGUAGGGAAUCUUCCGCAAUGGGCGAAAGCCUGACGGAGCAACGCCGCGUGAGUGAAGAAGGUCUUCGGAUCGUAAAACUCUGUUAUUAGGGAAGAACAAAUGUGUAAGUAACUAUGCACGUCUUGACGGUACCUAAUCAGAAAGCCACGGCUAACUACGUGCCAGCCGCCGCAGUAACAC
rnacentral:rRNA from 1 species